rnacentral:rRNA from 1 species
GAUGAACGCUAGCGGCAGGCUUAACGCAUGCAAGUCGAGGGGUAUAGUUCUUCGGAGCUAGAGACCGGCGCACGGGUGCGUAACGCGUAUGCAAUCUACCUUUUGCAGAGGGAUAGCCCAGAGAAAUUUGGAUUAAUACCUCAUGGUAUGUGAGAAUGGCAUCAUUUUCACAUUAAAGUCACAACGGCAAAAGAUGAGCAUGCGUCCCAUUAGCUAGUUGGUAAGGUAACGGCUUACCAAGGCAACGAUGGGUAGGGGUCCUGAGGGGGAGAUCCCCCACACUGGUACUGAGACACGGACCAGACUCCUACGGGAGGCAGCAGUGAGGAAUAUUGGACAAUGGGCGCAAGCCUGAUCCAGCCAUGCCGCGUGCAGGAUGACGGUCCUAUGGAUUGUAAACUGCUUUUGUACAGGAAGAAACACUGGUUCGUGAACCAGCUUGACGGUACUGUAAGAAUAAGGAUCGGCUAACUCCGUGCCAGCAGCCGCGGUAAGAC